rnacentral:lncRNA from 1 species
AAAAAGUGGGAAAGGGACUGUUUAAGUACAUGAUGGGGAACUGAGAGAGGAGGAGACAGGAGAUGGAGAGAGGGGAGAAGCCAUGGCAGUUGGUGUCUUGCCCAGCUGCAGAAAUGGGACCUGACUCACAUUCCAGCAUUCCUUCUGCGCCCCUGGAAGCAUUAAUACCUCCCUAGUCUCCACUUCACCAACAAAAAGGUGGAUGGCCACAAGAAAAAAGGAGAAGAGGCUGAAAUCCUGAGGCUGAUUCUGAAUGGUAAUAGGAAAUACAGUUUCCAUAAAGAGUGCCCUUUCUUUUACUUGCUCUGGUCUCCUUCAGUGAAGAGGCAAUUGAGGGCUGGAAGAAGGAUAUGACUUGGUGACGUUCUCAUGUCUUUUUAGUUAGCCAGAGAGGGAAACCUGUGGCUCUAUCUUUGCCCUCCUUCUGGGGCCUCACUCUGGUUUUAAGGCUCUGGCAUCUCCGUGUACUUGUAAAACUUAAAUGUAUCUUCAGCUCUAUGAAGGCUGUAGAAUUUAAUGUUUUAUUCUUAUUAUUCUGAUCAGUGGGAAUUAGAGCUUAAUCAUAUACUAGAUGACCCAGGAGUCUUGGCUGGGGCUGAUUAUUUGUUUCGCACACCCGUGCUGCCCAGCACAAACAGCGAACCCCAGCUAUUCUGCCAGCUGAUCCCAUAACGACUCACCGCAAAUCGCUUCCCACAGCUCUCAUUACCACAGCAUCCGCAGCAGUCAUUGUUCUGCAGGCC